rnacentral:rRNA from 1 species
UACGUAGGGUGCGAGCGUUGUCCGGAAUUAUUGGGCGUAAAGAGCACGCAGGCGGUUUGGCAAGUCGGAUGUGAAAACCCGAAGCUCAACUUCGGGCCUGCAUCCGAAACUGCCCGACUAGAGGUAGGUAGGGGAGAUCGGAAUUCCUGGUGUAGCGGUGAAAUGCGCAGAUAUCAGGAGGAACACCGGUGGCGAAGGCGGAUCUCUGGGCCUACCUGACGCUCAGGUUGCGAAAGCUAGGGGAGCGAACAGGA